GACGAACCGUGCGAACGUUGUUCGGAAUCACUGGGCUUAAAGGGCGCGUAGGCGGCUGGCAAAGUCCGGGGUGAAAGCCCCCAGCUCAACUGGGGAAGGGCCUCGGAUACUGGUCAGCUUGAGGGAGGUAGGGGCGGAUGGAACUUCCGGUGGAGCGGUGAAAUGCGUUGAUAUCGGAAGGAACGCCGGUGGCGAAAGCGAUCCGCUGGCCCUCUACUGACGCUGAGGCGCGAAAGCCAGGGGAGCAAACGGG
rnacentral:rRNA from 1 species